GACCGCGUAGCUCAGUUGGCAGAGCAUUGGGCUAGUAUUCCAAAGGUCGUGGGUUCGAUUCCCACCGUGGCCC
rnacentral:tRNA from 1 species